rnacentral:rRNA from 1 species
UACGAAGGGGGCUAGCGUUGCUCGGAAUCACUGGGCGUAAAGGGUGCGUAGGCGGGUCUUUAAGUCAGGGGUGAAAUCCUGGAGCUCAACUCCAGAACUGCCUUUGAUACUGAAGAUCUUGAGUUCCGGGAGAGGUGAGUGGAACUGCGAGUGUAGAGGUGAAAUUCGUAGAUAUUCGCAAGAACACCAGUGGCGAAGGCGGCUCACUGGCCCGGUACUGACGCUGAGGCACGAAAGCGUGGGGAGCAAACAGG